rnacentral:misc_RNA from 1 species
UCAAACUUGGUCAUUUAGAGGAAGUAAAAGUCGUAACAAGGUUUCCGUAGGUGAACCUGCGGAAGGAUCAUUAUGGUGUCUGGGGUUUUAUUGGCUGUGAAGCGGGGGGUAUGUGGUGGGUGUGCGGUGUUGUUGUUGUGUUGUGCUGUGGUGCGAAGUACCCAGUACCACACAGCGCACAGCGCGGCACCCCGCCACAUGACAACAUAACAUAACGCGAACACGAAAACACACAUACGUUAAACAUUACAACUCCCAGCAGUGGAUCUCUUGGCUCCUGCAUCGAUGAAGAACGCAGC